GAUGAACGCUAGCGGCAGGCUUAAUACAUGCAAGUCGUGGGGCAGCAUGAAUGUAGCAAUACAUUUGAUGGCGACCGGCAAACGGGUGCGGAACACGUACACAACCUUCCUAUAAGUGGGGAAUAGCCCAGAGAAAUUUGGAUUAAUACCCCGUAACAUAAUGAUGUGGCAUCACAUUAUUAUUAUAGCUUCGGCGCUUAUUGAUGGGUGUGCGGCUGAUUAGAUAGUUGGCGGGGUAACGGCCCACCAAGUCUACGAUCAGUAGCUGAUGUGAGAGCUGGAACGGCCACACGGGCACUGAGACACGGGCCCGACUCCUACGGGAGGCAGCAGUAAGGAAUAUUGGUCAAUGGACGCAAGUCUGAACCAGCCAUGCCGCGUGAAGGAUUAAGGUCCUCUGGAUUGUAAACUUCUUUUAUCUGGGACGAAAAAAGGCGAUUCUUCGUCACUUGACGGUACCAGAUGAAUAAGCACCGGCUAACUCCGUGCCAGCCGCCGCAGUAAAAC
rnacentral:rRNA from 1 species